UACGAAGGGGGCUAGCGUUGCUCGGAAUCACUGGGCGUAAAGCGCACGUAGGCGGAUCGUUAAGUCAGGGGUGAAAUCCUGGAGCUCAACUCCAGAACUGCCUUUGAUACUGAGGAGCUUGAGUCCGGGAGAGGUGAGUGGAACUGCGAGUGUAGAGGUGAAAUUCGUAGAUAUUCGCAAGAACACCAGUGGCGAAGGCGGCUCACUGGCCCGGUACUGACGCUGAGGUGCGAAAGCGUGGGGAGCAAACAGG
rnacentral:rRNA from 1 species